UACGUAGGGGGCAAGCGUUGUCCGGAUUUAUUGGGCGUAAAGAGCGUGUAGGCGGCUAGGUAGGUCCGUUGUGAAAACUCGAGGCUCAACCUCGAGACGCCGAUGGAAACCAGCUGGCUAGAGUCCGGAAGAGGAGAGUGGAAUUCCUGGUGUAGCGGUGAAAUGCGCAGAUAUCAGGAGGAACACCAGUGGCGAAGGCGGCUCACUGGUCCAUUACUGACGCUGAGGUGCGAAAGCGUGGGGAGCAAACAGG
rnacentral:rRNA from 1 species